UUGAGAGGGAGGAGGACUUUCUUGCCAUGUUCUAAUCGUAUCAUAGCUUUCGGAGCAGAUGGACAAGAUGAACAGGACAUGGGUGAAACUUGUUUAUCACAUGGCUAGCCUAUAUCAAUCUAAAAAAAUUCUGCUAGAAAUUAUAUUUGGAUGCAUCAUCACUAGAUCCAUCUAGUUCUUAAGACCAAAAUGCAAUGAGUUGAAGUUAUGGUGGAACUAGGAUCGAAGCUUACACGGUUAAUAUGAUGUUUCAUAAAUUUGAGGUGAGGAUAUGGUGGAAUGGGUGCUUUAAGCAGAACAAAUCAAUAGAAACAAGAAAUUGCAGAGGAACUGAUGGUUUUGCUGGUCUGGUGCAUCCUCUUGGGGAUGAUAUCCAUGGUUCCCAUGGAUGGAGAGGAUUGUGGAAGGAGUAUCAUGGUCACACUUUGUGACCAAUGAAUGCAAAUAAUGAUAGAUACUGUAGCACAAGUUGCUGAGGCUUCUUGCACAUGCUGUAGCACCAGACUGGUUUGUAACCCAGGAAAUGAUUGACAAAUAAAAUGCACUCUAAUGAACUCCAUAUGUGAACUUGGAUAGGACUAUACUAGUAAAGUGAAUGUAACUCAGCUUUAGUGCUCAUAUGUUGCACCAAUGUAAAUGUUAAACUUCUUUUUUUCUAUGGAAAUAUUUUACCUUAUUCAACCAUUUGUUGACGAUUACCAACAUCACAGACUUUCUUUCUCCAGAGCUAUUCCAAUGGUUUAAAAAAAAAAUGUUUGCAUAUAAAGAGGUCCGUGAUCAUGAAAUACUAUGAUUAUUGGCCUUGGACAAUAUGCUUAUCAACUGGUCUAGGAUAUGAUCCUUCUCCACUGGCUGGAAUGAUUUGACUUGGUACCAAAUUCACAAACUGGAGGAAAAAGAAAUCGCUGAUGCAGUAGAUUGAUUUACUUAUUAUUAAAUCUACAACCAUUUGCUUGCUUAUCUUCAUCUAUAUAUUGGAGAACCUCCUUAACUCAAGGGCCCAAAUUUCUGGUACUGAUGCCUUGAAAUGAAUGACUUUUACUAUCUUAUAAUCCCAGCUUGUAACCCCAGACUAAGAUCUUUGGGUUCUGAGGAAACACUAGAGGCCAAUUCACCGGGGGAAGCCCCAUUCUAAACCUUUCUUGUCAUUCAUAAAAGAGGUUACCCUUGUAUAGUGACCAUCCAAACUUUUCCAGAAAGGUGCAAAAUUUUUCAGUUAAACUGCAGCAGAUGGAACAGAGAUUGGAACAUACUCUGUAGAAUACAGAGACCCUCUCUUUCUACGAGGUGCACCAGCUACCAAGCUGUUCCUCUAUCAGAUUCAGUCCUGGCAUGGCUCAUGAAACUAAUGGAGCUGGCUUCCAAUCUCUAUCUUGAAUUAUAGUCAAUAUAUGUUGGCAGUCUGAGUUAGUACUGGGAAAGUUUUCUGCGAUUAUUCGAGUCUCUGAUCUACUUUCUCUAGUGGUCACUAGAUCACAUACGUGGCAUCGACCAUGGCGUCGGUCGGUGCUUUCCUUCAAAGCUUGGCGGUCCGGCGAAUAUGAAAAAGAUACUUCUAAUUGAGGAUGAAGAUGAAAAUGGUCGCUCCAUAUGCAAGAAUUCUCUGAGCUGCUUGACACAGACAAAAGUUAGAGAAUAAGAUGCACUUCUUAUCUUCAAGGAAUAAAUUCCAUAUGCUUGGUCUAUAAAAAGAGGGAGAUGGGAGCUCAGAAACCAAACUGGCCUCAACUCUUCUAAAACUAGCUUCAAGUAGGAGGUUGCAAAGUCUGUACAAUGUCUCUCAGGAGCCGCCGCCACCCACAUCAAUACCAGGAGAGCAGGUCUUCCUCAGAGGAUGAUUACUGCGCCUACGUGACGAAAAUAGAGAGGAAGACGAGCAUGGUUGAAGGGCCCUACUUCCCCCAUCUUCAGACUGUGUUCAAGCAGAAGGAAGUCCAUGAGGAGGAGGAGAAGUCCCAGCCUGGGCUGUUCGGCCGGCCGAGGCAGAAGGAGUGGUUUGAAGAGAAGGAGACAUAUGAAGUCUCUAAGACCUAGGACAUGGCCUUGCAAGGAGGAGAGUGCAUCAGGUGCAAUCAGUUGGUGGCUGUCAAGGAAGCUUAAGCAUUAUCUAUAGUUAUGUGGUGAUAGACAUGCUAUGGCUUUGCACCUUUAUAAAAUAAAUCUCUGGCUCUUCUGUUCUGCAUCCUAUCCAUUUGAAUAAUACUGUAGUUCUCUAGUAUCAAUGAAGGUAUACUUCCAUAUUUUAGCCUAAAACUUUCACUCUUAUAUGUUUCUCAGGUAGAUGUUUGAGAAGUCUAUGACAACC
rnacentral:lncRNA from 1 species